rnacentral:rRNA from 1 species
UACGGAGGGUGCGAGCGUUAUCCGGAUUCACUGGGUUUAAAGGGUGCGUAGGUGGGUUUGUAAGUCAGUGGUGAAAUCUCCAGGCUUAACCUGGAAACUGCCAUUGAUACUAUAGAUCUUGAAUUUUCUGGAGGUAAGCGGAAUAUGUCAUGUAGCGGUGAAAUGCUUAGAUAUGACAUAGAACACCAAUUGCGAAGGCAGCUUGCUACAGGGAUAUUGACACUGAGGCACGAAAGCGUGGGGAUCAAACAGGA